rnacentral:snoRNA from 10 species
UGGCUCGGUUUCCUGGGGGGUGGGCUCAGUCUACACCACCUCCCCUCAGCCAAGCCUACAGUAGAGGGCCCAGGCAUCCUCCCGUAUGGGAGAGGCGUUUGAGUAAGGAGCCUCACCUGGGGUGUCCUAGCCUCACAUUU